rnacentral:rRNA from 1 species
GCGUCCUAUCAGGUAGUUGGUGAGGUAAAUGCUCACCAAGCCUAUGACGGGUAGCUGGUCUGAGAGGAUGGUCAGCCAGACUGUGACUGCGACACGGCCCAGACUCCUACGGGAGGCAGCAACUAGGAAUUGUGCGCAAUGGACGAAAGUCUGACGCCGCGACAUCGCGUGGAGGAUGAAGGUCUUCGGAUUGUAAACUCCUUUUCUUACCGAACAAGUUCUGAGUGUAGGUAAGGAAUAAGUGCCUGCUAACCACGUGCCAGAAGCAUCGGUAAUACGUGGGGCACGAGCGUUAUCCGGAUUUACUGGGCGUAAAGAGAAGCGUAGGCGGCUACGAUAAGUUUGGUGUUAAAUCUUCCGGCUCAACCGGAAACAAGCACCGAAAACUAUCGAGAUUGAGUCGAGUAGGGAAGAGGGGAAUUCCUGGUGGAGCGGUUAAAUGCGUAGAUAUCAGGAGGAAUACCAAGGGCGAAGGCACCUCUUUGGACUCGUACUGACGCUGAGGCUCGAAAGCGUGGGUAGCAAAACGGAUUAGAUACCCGUGUAGUCCACGCCGUAAACGAUCCCUGCUAGAUGUAUG